rnacentral:rRNA from 11 species
AAAAUACCCUAAAAGUGUCAGAGCCUUCUGAUCUUGGAUGCUAAGCAGGGUCGUCCUCGGUCAGUAUUUGGAUGGGAGACCGCCAGCAAAUUCCUCAC